GGAGUUAGGAAAUGUGAGUUCGAGAAUAUCGGAUUUGCUUGACAAAAGCUCCAGAGGAAGCCACGGCUAACUCUGUGCCAGCAGCCGCGGUAAUACAGAGGUGGCAAGCGUUGUUCGGAAUUAUUGGGCGUAAAGAGCACGUAGGUGGAUUUGCAAGUCAGAUGUGAAAGCCUUCUGUUCAACGGAAGAAUUGCAUCUGAAACUACAAAGCUUGAGUACAGGAGGGGAGAGUGGAACUUCUG
rnacentral:rRNA from 1 species